CUACAGACCAGGUACAACACCCUGACUAAAGAGAGAGACCAGCUACAGACCAGUUACAACACCCUGACUAAAGAGAGAGACCGGCAACAGAAGGAGAGAGAUGAUCUUAUGACAAAGUUCUCAAAUCUGAAACAAACCUGUCCUGAAGACUGGCAGAAGUUUGAAUCCAGUUGGUACUUCCUGUCUACUGUGAAAAAACCCUGGGGGGAGAGAAGACAGUAGUGUCUGAUGAGAGGAGCAGACCUGGUGAUGUAAACAGUGAUAAGGAACAGGAGUUUCUCUUCAACCUCCACCUGAGCGCCUGGAUUGGUCUGACUGACUGUUACUGAGGGGGCCUGGAAGUGGGUGGACGGCACCCCACUGACCACAGGGUGAGAGAUUUGACCAUUUUACCUUGUGAUAUGGAAAUAAAAAACAACAAUGAUAUAUUGCUUCCAAUCAUGUUCAUAAAAAGUAUUGUUUCCACUCAGAAAUGUCAUUCUACAUGAACUAAAGAUAUAUCUUAAAAUGUAAUUAA